GUGCCAGCAGCCGCGGCAAUACGUAGGGUGCGAGCGUUAAUCGGAAUUACUGGGCGUAAGGCGUGCGCAGGCGGUUUGUUAAGAUAGGCGUGAAAUCCCCGGGCUCAACCUGGGAACUGCCUCCAAAACUUCCAGUCUGGAGUUCGAGAGAGGUGAGUGGAAUUCCGAGUGUAGAGGUGAAAUUCGUAGAUAUUCGGAGGAACACCAGUGGCGAAGGCGGCUCACUGGCUCGAUACUGACGCUGAGGUGCGAAAGUGUGGGGAGCAAACAGGAUUAGAUACCCUGGUAGUCCACACCGUAA
rnacentral:rRNA from 1 species